GGUUGUGGCUCAAUGGUAGAGUACUUGCCUAGCAUGUGUGAGGCACUGGGUUUGAUCCCUGGCACCA
rnacentral:tRNA from 1 species